GGCAGCCCUCACGUCCCGCACAUCCCAUCAGCCCCAAGCCCAUCUGUGCUGAAACCCUAGCUUUGUCAUCUAGACAUUUUUCCAUCCACCUCUGCCUUCUUUCUUCCUCUCAGCAACAAGCAACACAUAGCCACACACUCCUCCCUCAUCCCCAUCUCUCUCCCGCUCGACCCCCUCUCGCCGCCGCCACCAAUGGCGCCCCGACCCAGGCGACCUCCGGAGUGAUCCCCUUGCUCCUCUCCUCCCCCAUCACGUGCUCCUCCCCACUCGCGCGCCCGAGCCGAACCCUACAUGCGCACGCGCGCCAGGGGCCUCCCCGAUCUGUGAGAUGUGGUGAAGUUGCAUGUCCUGAUGGCCGCAGCGUAGGCCCACACGGGUGGACGGAUGGACGACAGCGACGGCCAGGGCGCAGGAGAGAACUGUUGGCCGACCGGGGCCUCCAGCCAUGGCAGCGGCGGCAGUGACGGGGUGCAGCUGUUCCGCCAUGGCUAGGGCAUUUGCAGUUUAUUCCAAUCCGAUUUGCUAGAUCGGAGCACCUCUACCUUAUCCACUACGCCGGCCUGCUACAACCGUCGGCGAGCUGCCCGACUUUCCCCCCUCUCCGCCCGACGGCGAUGCCUGAGUGACAUCUGUCGCCGGCCCAGUGGAUGCUUGGGUGAAUGAUUAUAGAUGACUGUCGACCUCUUUCUUCUAUACGUGGUACGAGAAAAUUGAGCUCAACGAUGCUUUGGAUUUCAUCCAUGCACUAGAGGACAAGGGCCUCAUGGACAACCAAGGUGCAUGGUGCUCGCAAGCGACGAAUGGAGGGUGUUCGACAUCGGCUACACAAACCAACACUAUGAGCUCCUCCCUUUCUUAUGCCACAACCAUGCUCUGUUUCAUGGGUUAGUUAGGAUUUUGGUGUUUUUUGCAUCGUGUUUGAGUACUUGCUGACAGUUGCAUCGAUGAUCAAGUCCUGGUGCUUAUUUGUUGUGGUGGUGCUCAUCUGGCUACUUGAUUUGCUGCUUCUAAUUAGUAGUAGUUUAUUAGGAUGUGGCUGAAACCAUUGGAUUAGCUGGUCCUAAAGAAUGAUUAUUAUCGAAUUAGCUGGUCCUAAAGAAAUGCUCCGCCUAAGCUUUGCUUAGUGGCUGGUUACAUAUCUGAAAAGUGCAACGCAGGUGAAAAGAUUAAAUACCUUGUCAUGCUUGCAAUAGUUUACACUGAACUAUUUUUUGUAAUCUAUCUUACUAUACUGGUUCCAAGUGCUUGAGUAGCACCUCUGAGAUAAGUCACUUGUGGUUAAUUAGUAGCUUUAUCAUUUGUGUUUGUGCAUUCUUUUUUCGUGGGCAUCAUUCAUGGUUGUCUAGUAGUCGACAUACUAUUGUUCCCUUAUCUUGUUAUGGAGCAAAUUCGCUAUUGUUGUUCUAUGCAAGAACUAGUGAGAAACUUGAAGAAAUUUUAGAAGCUGGAACAUAUAACUAGUUUGUUUGAACAAGGCUAAUUCACUCUAUUAUGUCAUUUCAGUCAGCUGAAAUGAAUUUUCCAUGAAAUCUCUGUGAGAACUACUAAAGAAGUUGAAGAAGUUUAGAAGUCAGAAAUAUAUAUCUAUUUGGCUUUUUAGUUCGCUUGAACAAAGCUGAUUCAUUCUACUUUAUUUUGUCAUUUCAGUCAGAUGAAGUUGCCAUGAAAUCUCUAGAGCUUGAUGGAUACGAAAUACUUAAAAUUGUGGUGUUUCCUCUUUUAUAUUAAGUCGUGAAGUGUGGAGCAAGUGUGAAGCCGUGAAGUGUGAAGCCUCGUGAAGUACUCACUGAAGAGUAGCAUAUUGUAGCAUAUCUGUCUUGUAAAGAUUGUAAUAGAUUUAUUUAGUGUAUAUUUAAUGUAUCUUAUGUGUUCUUUGUUUCAUUUGAAAUAUUGAUUAUGUAUGUGAUUUGAAAACUUGUGAAAUUGAAACUUGACCAGUGGGGCCACUUUAUGAAAA